rnacentral:tRNA from 1 species
GGCUUCGUAGCUCAGCGGGUAGAGCAUUUGCCGUGUCUAGGCAUGUUGUUUCUGUCGCUGGUUUUAAUCCAGCCGAAGUUC